AGUAUAAAUGUGAAUAUAUAAAAACUCAGUCAUAAAAGGGAAGACCAUCCCUCUGAGGUGUACUUGAAUGUAUCGGAACAACGUUGACUGAUAGGUUAAUGUGAUGCCGUUUAGUACUGAAGUGAUUUAGUACUAAGAAGUACUGGUAGAGGUACAACUACAAGAGUAUAUCGCUUAUAACAAUGAAUAAUAAAGCGCAAUGAGGUUGUACGUGUCAUAAAGAGAAGCACUCUGGAUAAGAGAGUGCUUACUCGCCACAAACCAUGUAAGUUAUGGGAAUAGCUUAGGAUGUUAGGUGGUAAAAUCCAAUAAGACGCCUGUGUAGAAGAAAACUAAUGUAGAAAUACAUUAGAAUACAACGAGUUGGUACAAGUAGCCAAAGUCUACGCUUAUGUGAAAAACAAAUAAUUUUUUAAUGUUGGAGUACAUUAAACUUUAAAUUAAGCUGAAUGGUUGGUGAACGUUAAGGGUAGUUAGCCCCUUCAUAUCAUAGGUCUUUUUAAGACGGUUAAGAAAGUCGCGGAUGACGGUCCAAAGGCUCAGCUCUUAGUCGUAUGUUGCUUAAUAAUUUGCAGUUGUCGAAUAUAGUCGGGGGAAACCCCUGUAUAUAUUCACAUUUAUA
rnacentral:sRNA from 12 species